rnacentral:lncRNA from 1 species
GACGGAAAUGCAAGGCUUUCUUCUGGUGAAGGAUUAACACCCCUCCCCUCCCUCGGGCGGUGGGUGUGAAAAGGGUUAUGUAAAUCAUUGCUACUUUUAGGAGCUGGCAGUCCCUCAACUUGAGCGAGGACGUAGGGAAAGCGAAUCCGGGAAGGAGGCAAUUCACCUCAAACCUUUCACAGAUUCACGAAAUGAACAUACCAUUGAGAUGUUCUUCUGUAAGAAAGGACAGAUCACUUUGCAGCAAUUCACCCCGUGACGACUUGAAGCAGAUAGUUCUCGCGAGUUUUAGAUCCUUUUUUUCUUUCUUUCUUUUUUUUUUUUCAAAGAUGAAUCUCUGUUGAGAUGGCAAUGUGUGCCUCGCUCUGAAGGAAAACCACAUAAGCCAGGUCUUGAAGGUCUUGAAGGCGGAUGCACGCCCUUUUCUUCUGUGCAAGGCCUGCCUUACCUCCCAGCGGUGCCUCUCUGUCUCCUACCACCCUUUCGGAUCCAGCUCAGACACUGCACUUCCAAAGGCUUCCCUGGUGUCCAGGAAUGUUUGCUUCUCUCUUCUGGCUCGUGGGACCAUGAGCUCCAGGGACCACACGCUCCAGGGACCACGCCUGUGACUCCCGCCAGAGGUGGUCAGUGCAUUUCUCUUCUCUUCCCCCGAGGGCCCAGGUCCCCCUCAUCUCCAAGGGUACCCAUCACAGGGCUCCCUUUUAAACUAUCGGGAAGCACUGAAUGAAUGAACGCACGAAGACCCAUCACCGGCUCCUCCUGCCUUUGCCUACCAUCUUCUUUCUGGAGAAGAGUCAGUUUGUCUGCAUCUGAGAAGAGGUGGGGGAGAGAGCCAGCAAGUCCUCCCCCUUCUGCUCCAGGAUCUAGGAGACAGGGAAUCUCAUCGGGGGAGGGUUAGGGGCCCCCAGCCGGGGUGACUCGGAAUAACAGAGCAGUUUGCUGGUCUGGGCAGAAGGAUGGGGCAGAAAUCCUUACCAACAGGGCCCAGGCACUGGAGGAAUCUGACCGA